GGCAAUGUUGGUUGGGACAGUGGAAUCUACAGUGGUACAUGCCUCUCAUAAAAAGUAUUCCACUAUGUGGAUGCCACGGAAGCUCAGAAACAAGGAAAGGAAGUGGGUGCAGGUUUGAUUCCUCAACAAUUUGAUGCAAUAUCUGCAUAGAUUUUUUUUGUUUUGGGUGAUUCAUGAUGGUGUCAAUUCUAUUCAUCUUGCUCUAAGGAAAUGAUCAAACAAUAAUGGACAAAUUCUUUUAAGAUUUGAAAAACAGUUAAUAAAAUUUGUUGAAUAAA